rnacentral:piRNA from 1 species
UCCCAGCAACAUCACAUAAUCCUUGAGUU